CCCCCCAACAAAAAAAAUAGGGGUUGAAAAUCCAGCAGGGAUUCGUGCCCUUCGGUGAUGAACACGCCAGCAGUUAAAAGAGUCCUUCAAACUAUACCAAUUAAACCCUUUUAACGAGGGCCAGGUGAACAGUCACACCAGGUAUAGUGAGGCGAGCUUUCGGCUUCAGCAAAAUUGUGCUUCAGGCUGAGGCUUCUUUUUAUUUCAUUUGAAACUCAGUCCUGUUUCGUGGGAAACUUGGAAGUAAGGGGCCGCGGAGGAUUUUGGUGCGGUCACCGUGUUUCCUCAACUAUGUUAGGAGCCUAUCCAGGAAGGGAGGCAGGUUAGGCUAAACAUGUUGCCUUUACUUGGAAAUAAAGGCCUUUAAAACAACAGGGUUUAAAACUCAACAUGAUACGCAUUGUGAGGCAACGUUAGCAUUUGCAUCUGGAAAAUAAUUGGACGGAAUAUCUUAUUCAUGGUUAUUGACUGUGAAGCAAAAACAGGGUUCCAGAGCAUGUACAGAAUGCAUUUUCCUCACCAGUGAUUUACUGGGGCCUGCCUAGAGGUAUUUGGGAUUACAGAGAGGCUCAGAUCGAUUGGUCCUUGUGCAGAUGUGAGUUCUGCGUCUUCUCUAUGGGUAUAAUACGUCCUCUCAUUUGUUCAUCUGCCCAUUCUUCACAAAGUGAUUUUCACAGGAGGCGCUUUGCAGAAGCUGCAAGCAGAAAUGCUUGACCCUGCUUCCGCCUGCUGAUUUUAAUAUGAAAUGUUUUCCUUUUCAGCUACCUUUUUUCCUACCAUGGUCUAUGCCUGUGUUUACCUUGCAAUCUGUGGCACAGCUGCAAGUCUUACAUAAUUUAAUAACAAAGAAAAAUAUUUGUAUAAUACUUUUGUAUAACCCACACAUAUUUUCUUAACAGAACGCAGUGCAGCUCCUGAAGCCCGAUGUGGCAUUUGCCAAGAUGCCAAAGUUCCAGGAAACAGCUCCAUUUAGCUUAGUAUUGCCCAUGCUGAUGGAUAGUAGCAUCCCAGGGGAGGGAAAGUUGUUUCCAUUCUUUAAUAGAGAUGCACAAGCACAAUGUCAAGCCUGGCCGUCCUGUGCUUGCUCCCACAUUGGUAUUCUGAAUACUUGGUACGAAUUUACCCAAAGCCUUCUCUGCAUUUCUUUUAUAGUAUGACAGCUGAGUAGCAAGUGCUUGUUAUACCAAAGCUCAAGAUACACCGUUGCUAAUGCUGCUGACGUCAGUAGAACACGGGUGUGGAAACUCAGGAAUGGUGGCCAAGUGCAGCUGUCUAGACUUCUCUGGCUCUCUAGGCCAUGGGUAGGCAAACUAAGGCUCAGGGGCCGUAUCCGGCCCAAUCACCUUCUAAAUCCGGCCCACGGAUGGUCCAGGAAUCAGCGUGUUUUUACAUGAGUAGAAUGUGUCCUUUUGUUUAAAAUGCAACCCAAUUUGUGGGGCAUAGGAAUUCAUUCAUUUCCCUGCCUCCCCCAAAUAUAGUCUGGCCCCCCACAAGGUCUGAGGGACAGUGGACCGGCCCCCUGCUGAAAAAGUUUCCUGACCCCUGCUCUAGGCUGUACGUCAAGCCACACCUCUCCCUAGGCUGCACCCCUCACCUGCCCUGUUUUGCACCUGCCUUGAGUGUUUCUGCCUGGCUGGAAUGUGUGCUUGAAGCCUGAUAUUAAUGCCCUUUGCUUGCCUGGAUGAAGGAUAGAGAGCGAUAUAUGAGUGUAUGUAAAACUAGCCUACUGUACAAAGGUAACAUUUAUAUUGGUUGCCCAACCCACUUUGUCUUUGGCCCGGCCCUGCCCAGCACUGGCACGUGGCCACUGUAAGGUUGUGCCCCUAAUGGAGGCAGGACGGAAACUGCUAUCUCUGUAGCCCGGUUUGAUAUUUCAAAUGCCAAGUGGCCUAAAAAUUACACUGCUAAAUAAACAUAAAAGCGUAGGUGUUUGUGAGAGAGCAUGAGAGAGAAACUCAGGUUUGGGGCAGGGGUUAAAGGGCAAGCAAAGUGUUGCUGGUUAUAUCUGCCACCUGAGAUGUGCAGGGAAUGCUUUAAAUAUUAUAUAAGUUAAGCAUUUGUUUUUUCUCCUUAGUGUGAAUAUUUGAAUCCUCACCCACUCCUUCAGAAAGAACAUGUUGUUCCUUGGUUGGUUAUACACAUGGUCCUGCUCUAUUCAUGCAAUCUGACUUGUUGGGGGCCAAAUUUAAGUUGGCCUGUUAUGCAGGUUGCAAAGCCCCCCCCCCUCUUUUACCAUGAAAAUUUAGCUUUCUUAUGGGCAAGCAACUGAAAAAGGAAAGGGGAAACCCACAUGUGUAACAAUGAAAAUAGAAAGAAAUACAUUUAAUUCAGCAUAGGGUUGUCCUGGCUGUGCUUUGAUAAGAUAGCUAUAUGCAGAAAGAUAUCAUCAGUAGGGCUCUUCCUAUAAUAGUUUUGCAGUGACACAGUAAGGUAUACUUAGUGUGUUUUAAAAGAUGCAGAAGCUCUCAGAAGCUGGUUUGAGCAUUAUUUGUUCCAAUGUGCUCCCCAUCUUACACAAAUAUAAGAUGGGGUGUACCUGGCUUGUAAUGUAAAAAUGAUCUAGUAGCAGACCACAAGCUUAACAGGAGUCCACAUUGUGAUGCAGCAGCAAAAAUAGCUAAUGCUUUUCUAGGCUGCAUCAACAGAAGUCUAAUGGUUUGAUCAAGGAAAGUAAUGCAUUGCAGGGGGUUGGGAUAGAUGACCCUCAAGAUUCCAACUACAAUUCUAUGAUUCUAGAUGUGCUAUAAAUCCAACAUACAAAACUGUGGCAGACUAAUCUGUAUCAAGUCUGCAUAAGAGUCCUACUAGAAUUGAAUCCAGGAAGGAAACUCAAGCAUAAGACAUUCAAAAUGUCUUUAUGUGAAUAGAUUCCAAGGUAAUUCCUUCAUCUUGCCAAUAAUUUAUGUUAUUGUUAUACACACAAGCCCUCUACAUACUUGCAGAAUGUUCUGGGAUGCGAUGCACACAGUUCAAUCACAUGAUCAUCACAUGGGACAUUGGCUGUGCUUACUGGGCAUUGCUAUCGGCUGAUGUGAAUUGAGAGUGGGACCUAGAACGCAUUCAACUUUCUCCGUAGCUGCUGAUUGUAGAAGAUGCUUGGCAGGAGCAAGCAAGCUGCCUUUCAAGAAAAGUGGUCUCCCAUUGGUGAUCGCCCUCAGAAAAUCCCUAUAAGCUUCAGUACAUAGCAUGUUGGACUGUGGAAAUGGCUUCAAAUCCCAUAUCAAUGAAGCUUACUGGACAUCAGGGACAACAGCACUCAAACAGGCUGCGAUUUGGUUGGUUGGUUGGGUGGGGGGUCAGGGGAUGACUGCUGAUAGCUGAGCCAGGAUAAACAGGUGAGCUCCUGUUGCUUGGUCCCUGCUCCUGCCAACCUAGCAGUUCAAAAGCAUGUCAGUACAAGUAGAUAAAUAGGUACUGCUCCAUCGGGAAGGUAAACGGCGUUUCCAUGCGCUGCUCUGGUUCACCAGAAGUCAUGCUGUCCACAUGACCCAGAAGCUGUAUGCCGGCUCCCUCAGCCAGGAAAGCGAGAUGAGUGCGCAACCCCAGAGUCCGCGACUGGACCUUUAGGUCAGGGGUACCUUUACCUUUACCUACUAUAAAACUUUAAGAUCUGCCACACUCAUGGUCCCUUCCAAAUCUAUGAUUUUAUACUUUGUUUUCCAUGUGCGAAUCCCCUUAAGUCUGAGUACAGUGGUACCUCUGGUUACAGACGCUUCAGGUUACAGACUCCGCUAACCCAGAAAUAGUACCUCGGGUUCAGAACUUUGCUUCAGGAUGAGAACAGAAAUCGCAUGGUGGCGGCACAGCAGCAGCGGGAGGCCCCACUGGCUAAAGUACUUCAGGUUAAGAACAGUUUCAGGUUAAGAACGGACCUCCAGAACGAAUUAAGUUCUUAACCCGAGGCACCACUGUAGUUUGUUGCAGGAAGGUUCCUUCUAGCCGUACUUGUUAGAUCUGAGUAUCUAAUACUCUGUGGUCUUAGAUUAGGCAAAGAGGCAGCAGUUGGCCCACCUCACAGGGCUCUUGUGAAGAUAAUAUGAGAAAUCUCAUUUACGUCACCCUGGUUUCUUUGGAUACAAAUGAGAAAGGCAUUUUAUAAAAGGAGUGGGAUGUGUAUCUGUUAAUGGUUUCUAACUAUGAGAAGGGACAUGAAGCUUCAGGGGAGUAUAUAGGAUUCCAUAUCCUUUCUUUCAGAACUCCAGGCAGAAAUACAACAGGAGUGGCCUCCACACUGGGUAAGGUAUUCAAGCAGAUGAUUGCCAGCUUGCUCUAGACUCUCUUGGAUGACACUGACUUUCUAUAUUAGUUUCAGGCAGGUUAUAGGCCUGAUUUUGGAAUGGAAACUGACUUGGCUACCCUGUGAGAUGACGUCUACCAAGACAAGGAGAGCAACCCUCGCUCCCAGUAGGAAGAAGUAGAGCUAUUCAGUUAUAUCCAAUGUCAGUUCCACUCUGAGUAGAUCCCUUGAAAAUAAUGGGCCAAAAUUUAAAUGGGUUAAUUUAAACAGAUUUACUUUGAUCAGAGCUAAUGUUGGCUACAACCCAAUUUGUUUAUUUUGUGAGUGUUACAGAGCAAGGUGUUCGUAAACAAGGGCUAUUGCUUUAAAAAUAGAACCUCUGGCAAUUCUAACUGCACACCUGUUUAAAAUAGGAUUAGGCUUCUGCUAGGCCUGUCUUUUAAUAGAAAAUCAUAUCAUAGCUAUGUGUCUUUCCCCUUGGCAUGUAUCUUUGUAGAUGUCAAAUUACGCAAACACAUUUCAGCAUUACAUACAUUUAAUGCAUGCACACACCUUUUCGUGUAUAAACUCUCAUGCCUUGUUCUGUUAACUGCUAUGUUGCUAAUUGUUGUGUGGGGUGGUUUGAUUUUUUGCUAUGGUAAAAAGUGUUCAUAAAGAACAAAGCUGAGUUGCAAAAAGCAGUGGCCCUUAUAUUUACAUGUCCCAGCUUAAAACUCUUAAGAAUUUAGUCCUGCUGGAUAAGAUCAAAAGAGCGUGUAGCCUAGCACUCUUUCUCCUGCCAAAUAUCUCUAAGCUCACAAGCAGGGUAUCGUGGAGGCAGUAAUCCCCAGUUUAUUGCCAGGUUUUAAACCAGUGAUAAACCACUGCUGGUCAUGAAGGUUCUGUUCCUACCUAUUGUGGCUAUAAUUAAUCGAUGAGCUUAAAUGGCGAAUCUACAUUAUCAAAGAUGAUAGAAAAAGUUUUGGCAACAUUCAUUUAAUACAAUAUCAAGUUUGUUUCUUUUAAGAUUUCUGAUGUUUUCAAAUGUUGUUGUUGUAGUAGUAGCAGUAGUAGUAGUAGUAGUAUACCUAUACCGUAUUGGCCUGAAUAUAAGCUGCACCCCCCCCCCCCAUUCUGACCAUGAAAAGUUAAAGUGUGGCUUAUAUUCACGACCUUACGCCGCUGGCAAACCAGUGCAGCUCCCCCCACCAGGCAUAGCUGUCAACUUUUCCCUUUCAUUGCGAGUAAUUUGCUUUGCAAAAGUUGUAUAUUAGGCAAAAUGCAUACCAAAAUAUGUAUAUUAGGGUAAAUGCACACUAAACAAUGUUUUGCUCAUGACUUCCACCACGGUAAAUCCCAACUUUGGGGCCUUUUGGUCAAGAGACCAUUUUUCCAGGCACGUUUGUUGACAGGGAACUGUUGUGUAGCAUGAAGAACAGCUGUGGUCAAUCAACUCAGAUGCUUUUUAAUUUAAUUUUUUAAAAAAUUAAAAAAUUGCUUCAACUAGUGCAGUAACUAGCCCAGACCCUUCAUUGCUAUUUUUCAUCACUGAGAUUUUUUAAGUAAAUAAUUUACUGUGGAUAUUUAUCUGCGAAGCAACUCCAGGACUCGCCCUCUGCCCCAUCAGCUGUGAGGUGCCUGUUUAGGAGCUCCUGGCACACAACAGAAACUGGUAAUGUGUAGCAAUUGGGUAUUGAGUUACACCAUAGCCUAUGCUGUGUUGUGGUGAUGUCAUCAACUCCAGGGCAGGGCUGUUGGUUUGCUUUAAAUCCCUCUAGUUGAAGUCAGUAGGAAAGAAAUUAUUUGCAAAAGUUCUGGGGUUGGUGUAAAGUUGCAUCAACAGUGGGGUGUGGAGCUGUGGUUUGGAGAGGUUUAGGAAAGAGUGUACAUUCCUCCCUGUCCCACCCACAUCACUGUAUAUAAACAGCCUCGGCCCAGUAUACCUGAAGGAGCAUCUCCACCCCCAUUGUUCUGAGGUCCAGCUCCGAGGGCCUUCUGGCGGUUCCCUGAGAGAAGCGAAGUUACAGGGAACCAUGCAGAGGGCCUUCUCAGUGGUGGUGCCCGUCCUGUGGAAUGCCCUCCCAUCAGAUGUCAAGGAAAUGAAGAACUAUCUGACUUUUAGAAGACAUCUGAAGGCAGCCCUGUUUAGGGAAGUUUUUAAUGUUUGAUGUUUUAUUGUAUUUUUAAUAUUUUGUUGGAAGCCGCCCAGAGUGACUGGGGAAACCCAGCCAGAUGGGGGGGUAUAUUGUUGUUGUUGUUGUUAUUAUUAUUAUUAUUAUUAUUAUUAUUAUUAUUAUUAUUAUUUCCAUCUUGCUAGCAUAUCAUUGCCAACAAAAUAGCCACACUGUUUAGUUAAUGUCUGUUGUUGAUUUCUUCUGACUAUUUUAAUACAGUGGUACCUCGCAAGACGAAUGCCUCGCAAGACGAAAGACUCGCAAGACGAAAGAGUUUUUGGUUUUUUGAGUUGCUUCGCAAGACGAAUUUCCCUAUGGGCUUGCUUUGCAAGACGAAAACGUCUUGCAAGUUUGUUUCCUUCUUCUUAAAACCGUUAAUACCGUUAAAACCGUGCUUCGCAAGACGAAAAAUUCGCAAGACGAAAAAACUCGCAGAACGAAUUAAUUUCGUCUUGCGAGGCACCACUGUAACGUGAUUUUAUGGAACAUGAAAAUAAAGGUUAGUGUUGGCGUUUUUUAAAGCAGCAAUUUUUCUUUCUGUAACUUCUUCCCCAGUUGCUUUGGAAUGAUGGGACAGUGUGGGGAGAGUCACUCUUUGCUCCACUUAAUCCAAUGUAGUGUGAUGCCAGGAGUUAUUAAAUCCAGCCGCCUUUUGCUAAUGGGUAUGGCUGUAUAUACGGAGUAAGGCUCUAUCUCUCUUAGGAUCCCUGAAACAUUGUCAUCAGCUCCCAGAGGAUCUGCCCCAAAGUCUUGAGAAGAAAGGCGAAAGACUUCACCACCUUGACAGUAAUAGUGAUGUGGCUUUUGUAGGCUGGUAUGCAAAGAACCUAGUCAGUCCUUUGACUAAUGACAAUUCUUGAGCCAGUUAUUUGACACUCCUUGUAUACUUCUACAGGAUAUUACAAACUUGGUGAGUCAGCUUUUGCAGAUCCAGCUUUGAGUAAAUGAGUGCUUGGAAGUAUUGCUUUGUCAGGAUCUAUUCUUGGUUGUGAUUUAGCAGCAAGUAAAAUGUGGUGGCUUGUAGCCCAAGGGGAAACCUUGCAAAAGAGUAAAAACAAGUUUUCUUUCUACAAAUCUGACACUUUUUAUCUAUAGGAAACAAUCGUUUUCUGUAAUCCUUCUCUUAUUUGCUAAUUAAAUUUUUUUUUUUUUUUGUAAGGCUGGUCUUUCAAAUGUUCAACAAGUUAUUUCCAAGUCUUGGCACAGAGUAUUACACAAAGCCUCCAUGAGCUCAGAUGUAAGAGAGGAACACCCUUUGCUGCUCAUGGAGGUGGAGCCUUCAAGAGAAAGGUUCGUCUGUCUAGUCAUUCCUCAAAUGUUUAACAAUAUAAAUCAAACUUACCAAUAGAGUUUGAUUUUUUUUAAAAAAACACCCCAAAACUAACCUGUCAAGUUCACAAUUCACAUAUUAAUUUGAUGCUUUAAUAUUUCUAAAAUGGUGAGAAAAAUGUUUUGAUCGAGAUUAAAGAAAGGGCUUAAUUCCAUUAACAGCUGCAGGUGAAAUUAUGUGUACUGCUCCUCUUGGCAACCUAUGAUAGGAUAUUGGAACAGUGAAGGGAGGGAGAACAGGAAUUGUGUUAACUAUAGACAAACAGGAAUUACUAAGUUUCCAGCACCAAUGGUUGUAAUAAAAGAGUAUCAUAUAUUUUAGGGCUUCAGCUCAGUUUCAUAUUUGAGUUAUGUAAAAUGACAAUAAAUAUUUCAUUCUCCCCCCCCCCCAUGAGGACAGUAGACGUUAGCAUAGGGACAAAAUUUGCCUUUAAAAAGCCAUCUGGUCAGUAAACAAACCAACUUUUUUUGGGGGGGGGGGAAUCCCUUAUUCAUUGAUGCUUGCCAGUUGGUUGUUUGUUUGUCUGUUUUCCAUUGUUUCAUCUUUACUGGGAAAGAAGUCGGAGAAAUAUGCGAUUUCCAGAACUACUUUAAUUGCAGCUUUGCUUGAAGUACUUUGAGUGUGUGUGUCUUUUCUCUACUCAGCCUGGCUAAAACAUUUUGUUACUCAAAUCAGCAAUCUAAUAAGAGCCUAGACUGGAGUGACUAACUUGUUUUGGGCCCCUUGGCUGCCUUCACACCUGACCAACUUUCCUGCAGCUCCAUGAACGAAACUGGGUGUAGCCAGCACACCAAUAACUCUCUCUUACACACACAAUUGUGCAGGACACACAGCCACUUCCUCCUCUGUUGAUCCAUGUAGAUCAGCUGAAAGGAGGGGGUCAUCAGCCCCUCUACACUUAUCAAAUGACAAAUGUGAUGACUGGCAAGGAUGAAGUUUGCAUUGCCAUCAAACCAUUGGACAGUGCCAUGUCUACUUAAUGUCUCCCACCUUCUGCUGCUUAUGACAAACUUAGUGAGGUUGCGGUGGGUCAGGAGAAUAUGCUUGGGAGUCCAGUUCAGGAUAGGCACCCCUGGUCUAAAAAUAUGCAAUAGGAAGAGGGCAUAUUGCCUAUAUAUGAAAUGUUUGUCUGGGAUGACAAAACACGGUGGCUAUCAAUAUAUGGAGUGUGCUGGUGUUUUGUUUUUUAGCUGCAGCAAAACUCCCCACUCCUUUCUGAUUUGCAGUCAUCUGGCUUUCAUCCAAACUCUGUAUUAUGUCAGGCACUUCAUGAAGUGCCAGCCUGUAUCACAUUAAAAAAAGGAAAAGAAACAUAAAGCUGAGUCUCACCAGCAUGCAGCUCUUACUUUCUAACUUCUGAGAGGGUGUUCACAUGUGUGUUGAACCUGGAGGAAGUCUGGGGAGAUGAUUUAGCUUCUGGAAUUGUCUUCAUAAGUUCCUUGACCACUAUAAUUAGUGUGAUGACAUGGGUGGAGUAGAAAAAUAACUGAUAAACCAAGAAAUGACAUUUUUAUGAGGGUGUAAAUGUGUCAUCUACAAAAUUGUUUGGUACUUGGUAACUCUUGGCAAGGAUAUUGACCUAUCCAGUUGGUUUAUUUUAGCAGACCACACCUUCUUUGAGGUUGGCAAGAUACUUGCCUUGUCUUGUCCUCUUGCUGAUGCCCUACUUCCAACAGACAACCCAGGCACAGAUCCAGUUGCUUUGACAUUAAAAUCCCCUUCAACAUCAUUAUGACACUUAUAGUUGCUUCACGUCAGCCUUUGCCUUGUUCAUACUCAUAGUUUGCUGCUGGGAAUGAACUAGGCCCAUCUGUGGUCACUCACCACGAGACAUCCAUCAGCACAAUUUGUAACGUAGAUUAAAGUCAUGUCAUUAGAAUCUAACUUCCUUGGACUUUAAAUUCUAUUAUGAAAGUUGUACUGCAGGGGCAAAACUAGGCUUUAUUUCACCUGGGUCAAAGACCCAGUUUGGCACACACAAACCCCACACACAUCUGUGUACAUACACACACAGACUGGGAGCCUCAGUGGCACCCCUCUGCAGGCUUUGCCCUGGGUAAAGCCUGUUUGGAAAAUCUUGUUUGUAAUGCCACCCAAAUGGCAUUACAAUGGUGGCCUACCCCCCCCCCCCAAGUAUCCAUAGAAACAGUUUCAAAGCCCACCAGUUAGGGACUUUGCAGGCAAUGUUGCCCACACUUUGAGGAAACCAAUAAGCUCUCAAGGGCAGAGACAUGCUCAGAACACCCCUUCUCCACAGCAGGCAUCACUCAGUUAUCAGAUUGCUCCUGUGCUCAUUUUCUAAAAGGCCGUACCUCCCAUUUCCAGCUGCUGCGUUAGGUGAAGCCUUAAUUAAAACCUCAGAAUUUGCCUCCAGUGUCACCCUAAUCUUGCAAUGGAAAUGCAUGCAUGCAUGUCUCUGUGUGUAUUUUCCAGAAGCAAAAUUAAAAGAACCGUGAGUCACGGUUGCAUUUGAUUUGUAAGCUAGGUGUGGUUUCAGAUGCUCUGUCUAUCCUUUCACUCUAAAACAAGUCUCUUUUUUUUUAAUAGAGGGCAGAAUUGACUUGAGACAGCAUUUCUACCUUUCAAGGCCUUUCGUCUCUCCGCAUAUCUCUCACGUGAACCAACAAGUCCGUUUGCUCUCUGAGAAUGAAAGGAUUAAUAACCUCUCUAAGGUGGGGUUUGAAAAGGAGCCAAUGAAUAUGAAGCGUGGCUGCUUCCUGAAAUGUGUGACAGAAUUAUGUUCUAAAGAUAGUACAAAUUCUUAUGUCUUUCCUUCUGGAGACAGCUAUAAAUAAACAAACAGGAGUUGGGGAGGAGAGGGGAAUCAGCAGAAGGCCCCUGGGGAAGGGAAGAGCCAUCACAAUGUAAGUAAGUCAGAAACAGCUACAAUUCUUUUUUUAAAAAAAAUUGCUUGUGGGUUUCUAUUUUGGUAGCUGUUAAAAGGAGCUUAUAAUUUCUCCUUUAGUGUUAAUCAAAACAAAUGUCACUGGGGUGUGUAUGUGCAUGUGUGUGUGUUUAACGCUCGCAGACGCCCAAUGCUUUCCCCGUAAAAGAAGCUCCUUUAAGAUUUUGCAAAAGCAAUCUUGGAAUGCUUCGUACAAAGAUCAUGAAACAAAGCCAGCAUUCCUUUGCCAAUUCCAGGACUGUGGUCACAUCCACACACGUCCACAUUUAAAAUGCAUGGUUUCUUCCAAAGAAUCCCAGGAUCUGUAGUUCACCCCUUGCAGAAGUACAGUUCUCAGCCCCCUUAAUAAACUUAAGUUCCCAAGAUUCUUUGGGGGAAGCCAUGAGCUGCAUGUGGUGCCAAUUCUUCUUUCAAUGCCAGGAAGUCCAUCACUCUUGGGGAAUCCCCGAUACUACCGGAGAAAGGCUAAAUGGCUGCUGCUAUGUUGAAAACUAGUUCAAGUAAAGCAAUAGUCGCUGUUUUUGGCAUUUUCCAUGGCCCUUUAUAUGUUUAUAGCUUGCUUCCCCACUCCAUCCUUCCACUGUUGUUUUGGCUGCUGCCUCCUGAUUUUGAACUGCGAUUGGGAAAGGGAAUAACAGUGAUCUCAACAGGCAAGGAAGAAGCUGCAGAAGUAGGAUCUUGAAGGUAUAACAGCACUCUGGUGAUGGAGCGUCACAGCCACAGCAGCAGAGCCUAGUAAACUCUUCCAGUUUAACUAUGGCAAGAAGAACCUUGAGGAGUAUAAACUCUUUUGCUCACAAUGCAAAUGGGAGAGAAAUAAUUUGCAAAAGGAAGAAUAGACAGCAUCUGGGUGAGGGGCAAUCCAGUGUUUUUCACAGGGCAUAAUUUCUAUGAUCAUGUUCCUACUGGGCAGGCCCAAGAUAUUGUGGCCCCUGAGGCGAACCAAAAAAUGGUGCUUCCCCACCAUGGAAGAAGCAGUGAGUGAAGACCUGCGUCAGAAACAAGGGGGGCAAAUAAAGAUCUACAUUGGGAUUUGCUGCCCCUGUGCAUUCUGCCACCUGAGGCGAUUCCUUCACCUUGCCUCCUCGGUGGACCGGCCCUGCUUCUGGCUUUGUGCUUGGGCUCUCGGGACCCGCAGAAUAACUCCCAUCAAGACUAAAGUGGAUGGCCUAGAGAAUCUGAAAGAGCUGCCUAAGCGAGGUCUUCAGUGACACUGGGUCUAUAUGAACACUGCAGAUGCCAUGAGUCAUCUCAAUUAAAUACCAAGGUGCUGGGGAAGAUGUCCAUUGUUGUGGUCCAUGUGGGCAUCAAUGUCCCUGAGAAAUGAAGCUGAAGCAGGCCGUGGAGUCCAGCUUGUCUGAAUCCAUUGCUGCACAGUGCUAUUGCACCCAGGUACUUCUUGCAAUCUUCCCAGAGCUAUCUCAUCUGUUGUGAGAACAAGAUGCUGGACUAAAUGAGCCAUAGGCCUGAUCCAGCAGGCACUUCUUAUUUUCUUAUACUGAGUCAGACCACUAUCUACCUCAGUAUUGUCCACACCAGGAGUGACACCUCCCAAAUGCUGUUGGACUCAAACUCCUAUCAGCCCCAGUCAGUAUGGCCAAUCAGCAGGGUAAUGGGGGCUGUAGUCUAGAGGGCCACAGGUUCCCAAUCCUCAGUCUAUGAUGGCAGCUCUUCAGGAUUUCACACAGAGAUCAGAAAUCUCCCAGCUUUCCCUGGAGAUUGAACGGGGGACUUUCUACUCUGCCACUGAGCUUCAGCUGUUUCCCUGUAUUAACCCUAUUUUGCCAGUCUUGCAGCAUCCUUUAUGAUGUGAAUGGAAUCCUCCUUGGCAUUUCUCAGAAGUGGUGUAAAAAAGCGAUAGUGCCUCUCAUGCAACUCUCAUUUGUUUCCGUUGUGUUUGCUCAUGAGAAUCCCUUACUGGACUGUGCUUUUAGUCCCUCUGUGCUGUGCUGUAUCUGUUUAGGAUAAGAGCCAGGAAGUCUGAGUUUGCUGGGUUUAGUUUGUGGGAUCUUUGACACACAGCAUUUGUCUGUGCUUCUAAUAUGUAUCAAUAGUCUUUUCAGAUGACUCAGCUUCACUAACAAUGUAUAUUUCUCUUUUAAAAAUAGUAUUCAUGAUAGAUUUACUGCGUAGCUGUCUCGGUGAGAUAACGGGCCAAAGGAUUUACAUAGGGAGAGCUAUAUCCUCGUUUUGCUACUAUAUGUGAAUGUAGCAUUUGAUUAUUUGCUUUGGCUCCUUGGAGAAUGCCAUAGUAUUCUGCAUUGGGAUUUUUAUGCACCAAAGCCUGAGCCACAGCAAAUCCUUAAAGCUUAUUUUGAGAUCAAAUGUGUGAUCAAAUGACAUGGUGAUUCGGGAUACUGAAAAGGGUUAUCAGGGGUGGGGCAGGGGAAGGAAGAGAGAAACUUAAUAAAAAGAAUUGCCUGAGGCUGUAACCCUAAGCACAUCUACACUGAAUACAGCGAGCCUUGAUUACAAGUAAAUAUGCUCAGGAUUAUGCUGUCACUCUUGUUUUGGUUUUGUUUUUUCUGCUGCAGACAUUCAUUUAAAUUCCUAUGCCUUAGUUAUGUGGUAGGAUAAAUAACGGUGGAUGCACUGAAGCUCAGAUGACCUUUCACUGGAUGCUAUCUAUCAUCACACUCUCCCAUUUCCUAUUUGUUUCCAUCAGUCCAAAUGACCCCUUUUCUAGUGACUACUAGUCAUUCUUGCUGGUGGCGCUGUGGUCUAAACCACUGAGCCUCUUGGGCUUGCCGAUCAGAAGGUUGAUGGUUCAAAUCCGCAUGUCGGCGUGCGCUCCCAUUGCUCUGUCCCAGCUCCUGCUAAAGCACACCAGUGCAAGUAGAUAAAUAGGUACCGCUGUGGGGGAAGGUAAAUGGUGUUUCCGUGCACUCUGGUUUCCAUCAUGGUGUUCCAUUGCGCCAGAAGCGGUUUAGUCAUGCUGGCCGCAUGACCCGGGAAGCUGUCUGUGGACAAAUGCUGGCUCCCUCGGCCUGAAGCGAGAUGAGCGCUGCAACCCCUUAGUCGUUUUUGACUGGACUUAACCAUCCAGGGGUCCUUUACCUUUUACUUUUACCUUACUUCCAGGAUCAGAGGUACGAUGCAGGGAAGCAUGAGUGGGAGAGGGCUAUUGAGCUCAAGUCCUUCUUGCAGGAUUCCCAUGGGGAUCUGGUGUCCCACUGUGAGAAUAGGGUACUGAGCCAGAUGAUCCAACAGAGUUUUUCUUAUGUUCUCAUGCCUCUUUGCUCCAGAGGCAAUUGUUCCAUUUUGAAUGAAGAGGUGAACGGAACCCCCAUCUUGACAGAGCUCAAACGCCAAUAUGACUGUGAUAAAUGCAACUUUCCACCAUGAAUGUGUUUAUCACAUAAAUUCCUCAUGUACACGAAUACCUUGUGACGGCAGAAAAGCAACAGAGCAUCAUUUCAAUGUUUAUUGCAUACCUUUUGACAGGAGCAUUAAAAUCCGAGGCAAAGUGGCAUCAAUGAAAAGAGUGUGCAGCUGUUUUCUUGCAAAUGGACACGAAAAUAGGUUAGUCUUAUGCCUGGCAGCGAAAGAAAAAUCUGAUAUGAUCUGAAGUAUCCAUUUUGUUUUUCUUUUAAUGAAUGAAUAAAGGAAGAUAGCCGAGAGAUGAACAGUCAGUAUAAGCAGGCAUUUUAUGCACCAUCAACUCAUUCUCUCAUCAGCACCAACGGGAGAAAGUCUCUUAUAUUUUUCUGAAUGUUGAGAGAGCCAUAUUAGCAACACAGCAGUUAUAUGAAAGGUAUAAUGCUGCCACCUGCUGGCUGGCAUAUGUAUGCAUUAUAGGUGAUUUUUCCUCCCUUGUUUAUGAUUCUCCUCUUCUACUGUUAACCUAUAGGCCUGCUAUUGGAAUACUGCUGAGGUAUUCCAGGCAGAUAUUUAUGUGCACGCUCACCAUACCAUUAAUGGCACUUAUCAUUGUGAAGCUGACAUGAAGCACAAUAGAUUCCAUUGCACUUCAAUGCAGUAAUGAUACUUCUGCAGUUGGCACAGGUGUUGUGCAAACAUGCUGUCAUUAAGACAAACAGGCCUUACAGGUUCAUCUUCAAGAGACGUAGCUCAGAAAAUGAGACACCGACAAUGCAAUCGCUGCAAUCAAUAACUGUGUAACAAAGAACCCUGGAAAACUUCCUUUUAAACAUCGUGUCCUCUGUAAUAUUUCUCUGUUCUACUGUUUUGUGGUUACCAAUUCAGCUUUUAAUCUAUGAAGAAGGGAUGCUGUGAAACUGAAAGAAAUCACUAUUUGGCAGCUAUUAUUAAAACAAACAGUUAUGCCUCACCCAAAACGAGGAGACUACUUUGCAUAAAAAUAGCAGAUGGUAAUUUAUAGGUAGAGACACAAAUUUAGGAAUCAUGACUGAAAAUAGAAAUGUAAUGCAUCUCAACAUAGGGUGGAAUACUGUGUCCAGGUCUGCCCAAUCUGCUACCCAGGUACUGCUAACUGUUGAUGAACAACUUCAAGGAUUCUGCUCUCCCACUUUCUGCUCUCCUGUUUUUUAACCAGAUAUGGACGGGACAGUCCUCAAAUAGGCAUCUUCAAAGAGAGGACUGUCAUCUGUAAAGUAGGGCACGUGACUACGAUGGAUAUUAGGACCAAAGUGGACAUUGCAUGCAAAUACAUGCAACAAAUUAUUUGCCUCUUUCACAGCUGCAAAAAAACUGGUUCUACAUCUUCAUCAAGCUAUCUAAGGGCUCAUUCCUAGUCAGUCACUGCCAGGUGGUUGUUUUUGCCACAAUUUUCAUCACCUCAUGCUUGCUUACCCUGAACAGCACUUUCGAUGUUACCAUCCAGUUUGGAGUGAUAUGUUUGGAGAUCUUUAUAAUCCGCUUGCAAUCACCCUGAACAAUUAGUCUCAUUGGCUACUUAUCUGUUUACCCCUACCUCUAGAUCAUUUAUGAACAAGUCCCUAUACUGAUUCUUAAAAGACAUCUUCAUCCCUCCCCUGGGAAAACUGGCCAUAUAUUCCUACUCUUUGCUUCUUUUGUAAUCAUUUAAUGAUCCACAAGUGAACUACAAGCAAUCCUUGUUUUGCACGGGUGUUACAUUCUGGACCCUUGUGUGCAUCGGUGGAGCGUGCGUAAGCCCAUUCAACUCCGUUCUGCCCCUUUUAGUGAUGCUUUUAUGACAUUUUGGGGCUACUUCUGGAUUUGGCGCCAUGCACGUGCGCACAAUUGCAUGUCAUUCGGAUGCACCUAAAUCAGUCAUUGCCUGUACUCAUCAUAUUCCCUGGCUGCUAAACUUACUCAAGAGUAUUUGAUGUGGUACUUUUUGAAAGUCCAAGUACACAAUGUCAAUGUGAUCAUCUCUUUCUAUAUACUCGACGACACUAAAAAAACCCUCUGGGUUAAUGAGACAGAAUUUGCUAUUGCAGAAGCCAUGCUUUCUUCUUCAACGGUUUGUGUUCUUUUUCAUUCUCUUCAUGUGCACAAGGCUUCCAUUUUCUAAAGCAAGCCUUCUUGUCUCUAAUAGUAUAUUUGACGCUCCAUGUUAAUCAUGCUGUCAUCGUCUUGGCCCUGGUGAUACCUCUCCUAUCUCAAAAACAGAAGGUAGAUGUCAGGGCCCAUAAGAUAUAUCUCAACAUUCAUGUGAGGGCAAUGCAUUUUAUUAUGCCAACCAUGUCCAACCAAAUAAUGCACAAGCUUUUGAGUUCUCUAGAAUGCUUCAUCAGAUUUGGUCAGGAUUGCCAGUGUGGUGCCUUCCAGACAUAACUGGACUCCAGCUCCGAUCUACCCCAGCAAGCAUGGACAAUGGUCAGCUAUGAUGGAAUCUGUAGCACAGGACUAAGGCUAUUAACCAUGUUGAUAAACCUAAUUUCUGAAUGGAAAAUUGCAAGCAGUGCUGUAACAUUGCCUUCAGAUGAACCCCAUUUCACAUUGACACCAAACCUCCCAUUAGCACACAAAGCCCCUUUGCUGUAGUGAAUGGUUAGAUAAACCUGCAUGAAUUACCAUUAAGCAGUUGCUGCCUUUCCAAUAACCUUUCCUUGAAAUGAAUUAAUCCAGCUUGACUGGUUCAUUUAUCUUCCAGGUAUUACAGCUGUGGGCUCCUGAACUGUGCUUCCGGACUGUCUCUAUUUUCAGGUACCAGCAAAUUCAGGAUGCACAAUUGAAGUCGAUUCAGAGCUCUUCUGUACAAACCUGCUUCGCCGAAAGAUUGGACAUUUUGCAAGAAUGAAAGUGAUGGGGGAAAUGCCAUAGAAAUUGUGGGGUAACAUUUGCUUGCUGCAGCAUCAGCUAACCUCCUCACAAGCAAAUAACUCCUCAGUAAAGAAUUGGCAUAAUAAUCUAAUCUCCCCACAAAAAAUCAGGAGGAAUGCACAAUAAACAGAUCACCUGGAAGCGACCUCGUCUGAACUUUCAGAAAAAGGCCAUUGUUUAAAAGUCACACCUACAUUAUACAUUUGAAGAGCUCUUAUCCCACUUUAGCAGCCACAAAGGAUUCUGGGAACUGUGAUUUGUUAAGGGGGCUUGACAACUGUAGGUCUGUGAGGUCAGAACCUUCCACAAACUAUGCUUCCCAGGAUUUUUGGGGAGACCUAAUGACUGUUAAUGAGGGAUGUGGGUAGCACUGUGGGUUAAACCACAGAGUCUAGGACUUGCCAAUCAGAAGGUCGGCGGUUCGAAUCCCUGCAACGGGGUGAGCUCCCGUUGCUCAGUCCCAGCUCCUGCCAACCUAGCAGUUCGAAAGCAUGUCAAAGUGCAAGUAGAUAAAUAGGUACCACUCCGGCGGGAAGGUAAACGGCAUUUCCGUGCGCAGCUCUGGUUCGCCAGAAGCAGCUUAGUCAUGCUGGUCACAUGACCCGGAAGCUGUACGCUGGCUCCCUCGGCCAAUAAAACGAGAUGAGCGCCGCAACCCCAGAGUCGGCCACGACUGGACCUAAUGGUCAGGGAUUCCCUUUACCUUUAAUGACUGUUAAAGUGGUAUAAGACUCCUUUGGUAUGGUAUAGAUGUGACCUUAAUGUCAGAACACAUGCUUCCUAUGCAGCUUGACCUACAUUCACUCCCUAACCUCAUCGGUUGAAAGUAGCAUGGUUGGGAAAGAUCUGAGUUUGAUCAAUGCACAGGCAGUACUGGGAUAAAUGGACCAAAUGUCUUAGCGUAUAAGACUAUGUUGGGCUUACGGAAUGCUUCUUCUCAUGGUCACGCAAACAUAUUUUCAGAAGGGUUCUUUACAGCCUGCGCCAUCUCUUUUAAUCAAUGGUUUCAAUCAAUGGUAAAAACGCAGGAGGCUUUUACACUUCUUCACAUUGCUAGCAUUUAGAGCGGGGGAGAUGAGUCGUGCUGUAAAAACUGGACCAGCUGAGCUCCAUCAGGGCAGCACUCUGCCAUUGAUCAUGUUUAUGCUGAGAUAAGCAGACUUCACUUUUGACUUGCCUACCUUUUAAAACAAAAACAAAACAAAACAAGAAUCUUCAUAGUCUGCAGGUGUCAGGCGUGGAGGUCCCCCUCCUCCCCCUGAAGCAUCAGAGGCAAGAAGAAGCAGUUCGUAUUUUCUGCGUUUUUUAUUAUUAUUAUUCAGUCAUCUGGUUGCAAGACAAAGAAUCCAUGUCUCCAUGCAAAGGAGACAUUGGCUACUCUGAGUCCCUCCUCUUCUGCCCCCAACAAUAUCCUGAGUACCUACGGGAAGUCCCAGGACUUUGUUUUUGAAUGCGGAGGGACCGACAAGCUCUUGGAGAAGGAGGAUCUCCCAGACUCUCCAGGGAAGUCUCUGCUGGCUGCUCUCUCACUUCCCCCUUUUUCUCCACUAUCUCAUAACUAGGCAUGUCUUCACUCGGCUGUAAAUCAGCCCUGUCUCCUUCUCCUCCUGAAACUGCUGGAGACAAGGGUGUGUGUGUGAACCUUCUCCCUCUCCCUCCUCUUCCGAGAGGAGCCAAACAGACCGAGGGGAAACUUCCCAGCCCUGCUGUUCAGUCCAUUCCCUGACAGCAAGCAUGCUUACAAUAUAUGACGCAAGAUGCAUCCUCAGGUUCUCUUUAACUCAGGAGUGGGAAACUUGUGGGCUUUCAUAAGUUACUGGAGUCCAGAUCUCAUCAGCCCUAGCCAGCCUGACCAAUGAUCAGGCUAUAUAGGUGUUAUAGUCCAUCAACAUCCAGAGUGUCAUAGGCUUCUCACCCCUUGGCUAGCUACUGUUGUUGGCAUCUAUCUUUUCUCAGGAGGAAAUGGAAGAGUGCUCCUUUGCGGGUGAAGUCAAACUGUUAGAAGGUUGCAGCUAUGGCAGUGGCUGUAGAGACCAAUGUGGGAGAGACAUGGUUUGUUGCAGGCGGAGCAGGUGAAGGCAUCCACUUUUGCCCAUAAAGCUGCAUCAUGGCUGUCAGGAACGAGCCAGCUCCAAGCGAAGGUUUGCAGCCAAGUGCAGAAAGCAGCCAGGAACAGAGAGGCUUUGAUGUGAGUCAGGCAGAGGAGAGCUGGCAGCUGCAGACUUUGGCUCUUCCUGACCUUGACGGGCAGGCUGAUAAGGCAGUAGCUGAGAGCAGGCUAGAACACAGCCAAAGCUCACCGGAAGCACAAAUAGGAACGAAUAGAUUCAGAGACAGCCUCUCAUAAAAGGAAGAGGUUAGAGCUGAUCCACUAAGUCCAAAGAAUUGGCUAAUGGGAGGGCUGCUAGAUAUGAAGCAAAACAAGAGACGUAAGGAUUGUAAGUUCAAUGUCUUCUGGCGAUGCCGGAAGGAGUCUUCAGAAGGGUCAUCUUGAGUAGUGAUGCCGGAGGCUUUGUCAGAGCCCUCUGGAGCUAUCUUUUUGUUUUUGCAAUAAAUCCUCCUUUUUAAUUACCUACACUUAAUUGCCUACAGCAGUCGUUCCUCCUGUGGUCACUGCUGUGGAUACAAUUACUUGACUGUCUACCUCCAACCACUGUGAUCGUUUGCAAGGGAUUUCCAUAUGGUUGGGGUUAAAGUCACCAGCCUUCAUGUUACAUUUGCAGACGUCUUUGUAACACAGAGUUGGCCUGCCAACAGGCCUGGCGCUUGAAGCCAGCUGCUCACAGAGCCCAUCCUUGGGGAUUCUGCCAUCUUCCAUGACCAAGCCAGCAUCCAUUGCUGAGACAGAAGUGCAAACAGGAUAUGGCCUUGGGAGAACACAUCUUUGUUUGAGCAUCUGUCCUGCCAUGUGAUGCCCAAAGUCUUCCUGGUGCAUUACAUAGGGAAGGCAUUGAGGUGUCGCUUCUGGCAACUGCAAAGUUAUAUUGAGUAUGCAAUCUUGCUUAAAAGAAUAAUAAUAAUAAUGGCUUUGGUGGAUCAGAUUAAGGUUUAGCUAAUCCAGCAUUCUCUGCAAACAUUCCAGCAGCCCAUAGGUAUGGGUUGGUACAGACCAAUUGACCAAUGAACUGUCAUAGAACCAGGCUUUAUCUUUUUUCCUUUAAGCCUUUCCUGCCUCCAAAAACACACAGGAUUGUCAUUUGUGAUGCAUCAAUAAUCUAGUCUUGCACGUAACAGAAUCUUUAUUUCUUGCCUCACCUCAAACAAUUCUGAACCAAUCCAGCAAUCUGCCUUCUACUGUGGUCUGCCUGAAAAUGAUGAUGAUGAUGAUUAAUAAUGGCAUUUGUAUGGCACCCCAUAAUAUACAGUUUUCUGGGCAGCAUGUACCAAAUACAUUUAAAACAUUUC